rnacentral:lncRNA from 1 species
GAAAAAGCCAAUUUUACAUCUGAAUCAGGAAAUAAAAUUCUGGAAGGACGAUCUUCCCAUAAAUACAUAAAGUCCAGGGAAAACUACAGUGAAAACAGAAUUGUCAGGAUCAACUGUGUGACUGAUAAGGCAAAUGGGGAUAGGAAAUGUCUGAGGCCAGGAGCUCUGCUCUCACUUUUCUCCUUUUUAGCACUGGCAGGGCCAUGGGCUAAUAUAUGUGCUGGCAAGUCUUCCAAUGAGAUCCGGACGUGUGACCGCCAUGGCUGUGGACAGUACUCUGCUCAAAGAAGUCAGAGGCCUCACCAGGGUGUGGACAUCUUGUGCUCUGCUGGAUCUACUGUGUACGCACCAUUCACUGGAAUGAUUGUGGGCCAGGAGAAACCUUAUCAAAACAAGAAUGCUAUCAAUAAUGGUGUUCGAAUAUCUGGAAGAGGUUUUUGUGUCAAAAUGUUCUACAUUAAGCCAAUUAAGUAUAAAGGUCCUAUUAAGAAGGGAGAAAAACUUGGAACUCUAUUGCCCUUGCAGAAAGUUUAUCCUGGCAUACAAUCGCAUGUGCACAUUGAAAACUGUGACUCGAGUGACCCUACUGCAUACCUGUAAAUCGAAGGCCAAUGGUCAGAUCUUCAAAAUAAAAAGUCAUCUUAAAAACCUGGAUGCAUACCCUUCUCUUCAAGAAAUUUGUGUUCACAAAGGAAAAAUGCAUGAAGGGAUGGAUACCCCAUUUUCCAUGACAUGAUUAUUACACAUUGCAUGCCUGUAUCAAAACAUCUCACGUACCUCAUAAACAAAUACACCUAUGUACCCACAAAAAUUUUUUAAUUAAAAAAAGGAAAUUUGAGUUUAAAUAGAAACAUGAUAAAUGCAAGAAAGAAAACAUUUUGAUUUUAACUCAUUGUCACUCUGAUGUUCAUGUGAACUGGUUGCUUCGGGCUCUUUGAUCUGUCACCUAUGGAAUCUGAGUGGUUUUAUUUUUUAGAUUUCUCAGUCCCGAAGAUCUAAGAUAAAUAAACAAGAGAACUUACGCUGGGCCAGGCUGCAUUUUUGACACCUCUAAAACUAGCAACCUUUCUGCUUGAAAAUAAGAAAAAGCCUGAAAGUGUUUCUAUGGUACAAGAACAAUACUGUGGGGCAAACUGAGUGGAACAAGCUUGAAAACCAAAGUACUUACGUAAAAUUUAUUGAGUGCUUACUACGUGCUAACCACUAGCAUGGCAGAUUCUGGGGAUAAAACAGUGAGCAAAAAACAGCAAGGAUAUUGCACUGAUGGAGUUUACAGUGCAAUGGAACAAACAGCAUGAAAUUUAAUCUGUCCAGGAUUUUCA